CCGGGGGGCAUGGAGUCGCGAGGGUCUGGGGACAUGUGGUGCCAGGGAUGUGGGGUCUCAGCAGGAUGGGAGCCAUGGGCUCCUGAGGUCCCAAAGGUAUGGAGUGCAGUUAAAUGGUGUCCUGGGGAUAUGGAGUCCUGGAGAUAAGGGAUGCAGAGAGCACAGGAUCCCGAGGUCAUAGGCUCUUGAGGUCCCAGAGAUACAGAGUGUAGGUGUCCUGGGGGUAUGGUGUUCUGGGAAUAUGGGUUUCUGGGGAUAAGGGGUGCAGGGCUCCUGAGGUCCCAGAGGUUUGGAGUCCAGGUACAUGAUGCAUGGUGUCCUGGGGGUAUAGGGUGCUGGGGAUAUGGGGUUCUGGGCAUAAGGGAUGAAGAGAGCAGAGAGCAUAGGAUCCCAGGGUCACAGGGUCCUAAGUCUGUGCCUGGGGCACACCAGGGCCUGGACACACGGGUCAAGGGCACGUGGCAUCUGGGCCACAGCGAGACCUGUGCACAGGGGCUGUGGGACAGCUGGGCUCCUGGGCGUAGGAGGCUGCAGAUGUGCAGUGCCUGGGCACAUGGGUGCAGGGCAGGCGGUGUCACACCCCCCCCCAUCCUGGCAGGGCCCAGCCGGGCCUGUGCCAAUCCUCGGCUUGUCCUGCCCACCCCCCUGGGUGGCUCUGACGGGAGCCUGGCACUGCCCUUCAGCCAGCGCACGUGUGCACACAUGUGCUUGUUGCUAAACUUGUGCCUCUCAUAUGUCUCCCAGACAUUUGCCUUGAAGGUUUUGGCUACAGAAGGGUAAAGAGAUGGCCAUGGUGUGGGGUGAGCUCAGCACUGCCUAUAGCCCUGCGCCAGAGACUCCCCUUGGGCUCCUGCAGUCCCUUGGCCCUAGAAUGUGUGUGUACAGGGAACAGCCACACGUUGGGAAAGCAAGUGCCAGCAUUACUGGGAUCUGCUCUCUCAUAAGGCUUCCUUACUUAUAGCGAAUCCUGGGAUCUGCUCCACCCUUAUCUCCACAAGUGGGUUCAGAGCAUUUCCCUCCUUCUCACUGUGUGUUUGACCCCAGUAUCUGCCCUGCUUGCAGCCAUUGUCUGCUCAGUCAGAAAGAUCAGACUCUGCAGGUGGGCAAUGCCAGUCACGGAUGGGUUCAUGGCUGACAGCUCUGGUUUCUCCAUCUUUGGGGUUUCCCAACAUUCCCCUCACCAGCACUGAGCUGCUGCUGUUUGCAGCUGGAAUGGGAGAUACUUUCCAUACAUCCCAGUACGACGUAUGAUCCCACACACUGUGAGGAGUCACCAGACAUGGGCUGAAAUACCCCACUUCCCUGCAGCCCUCUCUGUGAAGCUGCUCGGGGUGGCAGGGAGAGAGAUCAGAGCUCCCAGCCCUCCCCUUGACCCCAGUGAGCACGAAGCUGGUGAGGAACAGCCGUCCCCUUUGUCGUGCCUCUUCUGAACCACCAUUCAGCCAGGGAAACAAUGCUUAAACUGUGCUUGGUUUGCUUUGUAACUUCUUCCCUGCCACGUGAUGCUCACACCAAACCCCAGGGGUCCGCGUGAGGGGAUGCAGGCAGGUGGGUGAGCCGGGCAGGAUACUGCACACCAGUGUCAUGUUUAGAAACUCUUGGUGACUACAUCUGAGGAAGGGAAUAAAGGAAGGAUAACAUGAGCUGAGCUGCUUUGCCGGAGAGAAUUACGUCCAGUGCUUGUCAGCACGAUUCGUCAUCCGAGGAUCCCCGUGGAUCCACCACGGCUCCUGGCGUCUUGGAUGUCAGCCAUGGCACGGAAAAUCCUCUUUCACCGCUCAUUUCCGAUUCCAGGUGAAAACUCAUUAAAGGCAGCCGCUUCACCACUCCCUGCUGUCACCAGGGCACUCACCUAUCAGUCACAUCCUAUCACUGCAGGCAUGGGACAAUUUGUACCAAAGUGCGGGAUCAAGAGAAAUGGUUUAAAAAUAGAUAAUUCUACAGCCCUCCCUUUGUGUCUGUUGCAGCCUCACCUGCCUGUGCCUUGCCACCCAUCGCUGAUGGCAGCAGUACCCAUCACCUCUCUGUGUGCCACGUGCCCUGGGAGAUGGCCACGUGCAACCAUGAAGCCCGUAUCCUUUGCUCCUCAUUGCCGGGACAUUGUCAUUGAUUUGGAUGUCCGGUGUAGUGACGAGCCAAGUUGCCCAGCGUUUUUACUCAUCGUCCACACAUGCCUGGGCAAGCCAAAUGGUAUUGGAGCCCAAAGGCAGGGCAUUAGCACAGUUGCAAAGCAAAAUUGCCUUUUGUGUAGGAAAGUAAUGUCUUUGGUUUGGAAGUGGGAUUUUUUUUCGCAGGCCAAACGCUCCUAUAGAGGUGGAGGAAAGAGUUACAACCAUAGGGUGCUUUGGGCCUAGCACUGGCUUAAAAAUUGGCCAGAGUGUGCUGAGUCCUUGCAGCCUCACAGCUGGGUAACCCAUAGGCUGACCGUGUUUGCAAAAUGGGUUUUUCACAUGCAUUUGUAGGAAAGGCAGCCUUUUUGUGGGCUACACUGGAUUUUAUUUGCCCCCAAAAUUGUUUAUAGAGUGCCCAGCACUAGUGAUGAAACAAGAAAGGUUUUAAUUUUGUGAUAUAUAUAUUUUUUUUGUGCAGCCCCAUGGGCAUGACUUGUUUGUUUGAAGUCCAGCCUGGUUUUAAUCACCUUGAAUUAAGUAACUGAUCUUACUAAUGAUCCGACUAUGAGAGGGCUUAUCACAGGUUCCUUGGCACAUGAUGAAGAUUACUCUGUUGGUGCAACCCCUUCCGAGUAAUGUGACGUGUCCUCUCAGAGCUAUUUUUGUCUUCACCCUCAUCUGGGACCUUGAUCCUUUGGUUUCUCCAGCCAUUGACCAGCUAAAAUCCUCUUAAUGCUACGGAAACCCCAACUACGUAAUGGGACGACAGAAAAAGCUCUGCCAUUUCUUGUUGCAGACGUCAUUUGCUUCCUGAGGCUUUCAUUAAAUUGAGGGCAGGAUCAUAUUGACUUAACGGACAUGAUUGUGGGUGUAAUUAAAAACCAAAUGAAAAGAGGCAGUAUCAGGGAGCGCACUGAACAUGGUUAAUGUUUAGUGCUGGGUUUGAGCAUGUGAUGAAAAUGGGAAGAGUACAUCCCUUAUCCUUGAACAGGGCUGAAGGAUAUGGGGUUUACUCCAGUCCUUGCAAGGAUUCUGUGCAUGGGUUUGACUCCGAAUAUUUACCAGUCUCCCCUCAAAGGCGGCAGACUCAGGACCAAAGGUCAGCAGAGUUAGGACAACAGCUCCAGACCCACGGUGGGCUGGAGCAGCAGAGCUGCCACUUUGCUUUAAUCCUCUGGAGUCUUCGUCAACAAGUUAGAGAGAAAUGCCUAAUGUCCUGUUUAGCUAAAAUUAAACAUCUUCAAAGAGGAGUAGGGAAUGAGGAGAGUUGGGGGUUUGCAGCAAGGGGCACUGGGCUGGAAUAUACACACUGUAUGUCGCCCUCUUACUGCAGGAACAUCAUUGAUCUCCAGUUUAAUCUCUCUGUGCCACCAACGUUUUGUCUGUAGAAGAGGUGCGGUAAUGCUGCUUCAACUGUCCUGUUUUAGCUGAAUCUUGAAUCACUUUGAAAGAGAGUGAAAAGUUUUCCUGGGAAGUGCAAAAAUAUUUUCAUUUGAGAAACAAGACCACUGAAGAAGCUACAGAGUGUCAGUGCUGAUCUGGGUUGGGGCAUUGCUCCUGGCUCCUGUGCUGGAACCACCAGACAACAUCACUCCAUCCAGGGGAGGAGUCGUGGCCUUGAAUCUCGCCCUGUUCUCACCACUCACCACCACACUGCCUUGCUCAGCACCCACUUCUUCUUCCUCCUCAGUCUUCAUUUGUAUUACAGUCACUCUCUACUUGCUUAACUUUGUAUGAAUCACCAUUUCACACUGAGCCUGAGUUGCCCAUAACUUCAGCUGCUUUGCUUUCUCUGCUGCAUUAUAGGGUCAGCUCCAUUCUGACCCAUGGCAUGAAAAAAGAUCUGCUUUGGAAAUAACAAAGUGAGCAAGUCUUCACUUGUUACUUUUGUUUCCUGGCUGCUGCUGAGUGAAUUCCAAAAAUAUGCAUCCCAAAUGAUGCUUGGUGACUGAGCACUGGAACAGGUUGCCCAGAGAGGUUAAGGCGUCUCCUUCCCUGGAGAUAUUAAAAGCUGUUUGGACACAAUCCUGAGUAAUGUGUUCCAGGAGACUCUGCUUGAGCAGGACUAGAUGACCUCCACUGGUCCCUUCCAACCUUACCCAUUUGUAAUUCUUGGGAGCCCAAGUGAUGCUCUGAUACACUUUGUUUUGGAAAGGAAAUGUCUCAACCAGCUCUGGAGGAAGUAUAUGGUGUGAGGGUUGACCACUGCCAAACAUCAGUCCCAGCUAAUGGGAGGCUGAAUAAGCGGCUCAGUUGGUGUCAUGGAUUUUUUGAGGCUGUCAUUGUUCACUUGGUAGGACAACCCAGUUUUUAAGGCUUUGAAACUUAUUUUUUAUUCUGGUUCCUCGAUAGAGAAAAGUGGUUUUGCAGAAGUGAGACGGACAGCAAGGUGAUGAGAUCUUUUAGCUGCAGCUGUCUCACAAGCCCUCAGGGAUGCUCACAGGCUGUCAUCAGUGUCCUCUUCACUUUGACUGGCUUCAUGGGCCACCCCUCAGUAAGCCUUGAUUUUGACACCUGUAAUAAAAGAGCCAUGUUCAUCCUUUUGGAAACUUGGGGAAACCCCCAGAGCUGCAGCAGAGAUUAAAUUUCAUCCCUCAUGUUGCAGAGGGAAGCUGAAAUGUGUAGUUGUCCCUUAAAAGACUGAAAAGUACCCUUUGGGGAGCCUUUCUGUUUCGUAAGCAAGCGUUCGAGAGGGGUCAGAGAGCUCCUGGCGCCUGUGAAGGAUUUUGGCCUUCAGCUUGAUGUUGGUUGUUAAAAAUAUUUUCCCAGAUGUAUUAAUACAACCAGACUGGAUUGCAUCUGAGCUGAACAUUGUGAGCCUCAGGCAGGACAUAAAUAUAGAAGCAAAACAGCCUGACAUAAGAGUCAUCUGUCCUCUUGUACACAAGAAGUGAAGGGGAAAGAGAGGGAACUUAUUCUGUUGCAAUUUUUAGACACUUCCAGGAAUUAGCCCGAGCCUCAGAGAGUGCCUGCAUGGGGGUCCUGGGGCACAGAAGCCCCCAUGUAUCCCUCUCAGCCCCUGGUGUACUAUGUCACAGGACUGCACAUUUAGCACAUUUUUAACUCAGCGUUAGAUUUGCCUAGACAAGGUCUGCAAUCAGGAAUGACUAUUUGUGUGAUGUGUUUGCCUAACAGGAUUAUCCUUAUCAUAAUGAUAUAGCAACCUGGCCUUGGCAGAGCAAACCCCAAGGGCUCAGGGGGUCAAACCCUUGCCUCCAUUGCCCCAAAUAUGCACAGCACAGCUUGUCUCUUAUCAUGCAAUAUCCAGUCCUGCUUCAGCUGGCAUUCAGAUUUUGGAAAGAGCAAUUGUGCCAUGUAAUGCUGCCUGCUGACAUCACACUUGGCAUUUCUCUCUCUGCACCUGAAAAAAAAAAAUCAAUAAUAUUCAAAGGUUAGAAAAAUGAUGCAGUGUUUUACAAUUAGAGAAUGGGUUGCCUUCCCCAGUGGAAAUUGCUCUGAGCAGGUGCCUGAUUGAAUUCAGUGAGAAUUUGUUGCCCUCUGGCUCCAUAAGAAACAAUGAGUUGCCUGCUUUUGAAUUGUACAUCUUAAAAUCAUUACAAAAUCAUCUACUCAUCCAUAAAAGUGUACCUGUGAUUAUUAAAGUUUGCUAACUUAAAAGACUUGAGGAAGGUGCAGGAUGAAAGCUCAGUUUUCCCACAGAUAAGUAGGACAAAGGCUUUGCGCAGAGCCUGACCCCACUGAUCUUAUCCACCCAGGCUUAUCCACUACAGUUUCUGGCCAGGCUGGGGACACCUCCUGGCUCCCUGUUGGUGUCAUUUUAACCCCAGCACUUCUCAGGCCAGCUGACGUGAGCCUGUCCUUACCAGCUCCCAGGCUAUUUGCAGAAGCAGAACCUGCCGCUCGCUGUGUGUCGGUUCCAAAACAAGCAGGAUCCUCUAUUUAUAAUGUGCUAUAAUUGGCCUGAAUGAAACCUGUGGUUCUUCAGGCUGCAGGGGCCCAGGACUGCUGAUGCAGUGGCACCCUAAUUCCAAGGGAUGCUGCUGGGAAUGCCAAAAUGGCUCUGCAUAAAGCCGAGGGAUGUGUAGGUACAUAGUGUGAGCGGUACAUUCACAGGCUCCUGGUUUCUGGAGCAGGCUGUACUCGUCAGAGCUAUGUAGAUCCCCUUCUCUUGAUAAGAUCUGGGGGGAUGGAGCCUCUUUGGAGCAAAGCAGAGAGAUAUUUUUGUGCUGCAGUAGCUUCACUGUGUAAAUGCUUGGGUUGCCACGGGGAGCAUUACCUUUUUUUCCCCCAAGGCAUUUAUAGCUGGGAUGUGAGCAGGGCUCUGCGACUCAGGAAUUAUCUAUUCAACCAUUGGGCCUAAAAGAUUUGAGUUCACCUGUGAUUAGUGUAUAUUUAAUUGUGGUGGCAUGUGUGGCUGCUCAGAUCCUGGUGUUCAGCAUGGAACUGUUCUGACCUCGUAGCUUGUUACAGGACAAACUCCUGUCUAAGACAAAGAAAAGCAGCCACCUCACUUUUGUUUAGAGGCCAGUACAUACAGUAUAAUGCUCACCCAAGGGUUGAUUUGAUCUGUCUUUGCUGUAUAAACUUCUCCGCCAUUUGAAUCGUAAAACACAAUAGAUAUAAGGCCAAGCAGAAGGAUUAAAAAAAGAAUUGGCUAAUGC